GAGUUUGAUCCUGGCUCAGAGUGAACGCUGGCGGCAUGGUUAAGACAUGCAAGUCGAACGAAAAGCAAAUCUUCGGAUUUGUGGAAAGUGGCGAACGGGUGCGUAACACGUGAGCAACCUGCCCUAAAGUGCGGAACAGCCUGUCGAAAGAUGGAUUAAUGCCGCACGUGGCUCUUCUUCGCAUGAGGAAGUAGCUAAAGCUUGUAAUGGCGCUUUAGGAUGGGCUCGCGGCCUAUCAGCUUGUUGGUAAGGUAAUGGCUUACCAAGGCUAAGACGGGUAGCUGGUCUGAGAGGAUGAUCAGCCACACCGGGACUGAGACACGGCCCGGACACCUACGGGUGGCAGCAGUUUCGAAUCAUUCACAAUGGGCGAAAGCCUGAUGAUGCAAUGCCGCGUGGAGGAUGAAGGCCUUAGGGUCGUAAACUCCUGUCAUUGGGGAGCAACAAAUAGGUUCAUAGCCUAUCAUGAGUUAACCCAAAGAGGAAGAGGUGGCUAACUCCGUGCCAGCAGCCGCGGUAAUACGGAGACCUCGAGCGUUACUCGGAUUCACUGGGCGUAAAGGGUGAGUAGGUGGCCAAGUAUGUCAGGUGUGAAAUCCCGGGGCUUAACCCCGGAACUGCGCCUGAAACUACUUGGCUAGAGUCUCGGAGAGGAUAGUGGAAUUCCAAGUGUAGCGGUGAAAUGCGUAGAUAUUUGGAGGAACACCAGUGGCGAAGGCGACUAUCUGGACGAGUACUGACGCUCAAUCACGAAAGCGUGGGUAGCGAAAGGGAUUAGAUACCCCUGUAGUCCACGC
rnacentral:rRNA from 1 species